AGUGAACGCUGGCGGUAGGCUUAACACAUGCAAGUCGAACGGCAGCACAGUAAGAGCUUGCUCUUACGGGUGGCGAGUGGUGGACGGGUGCGGAGUACAUCGGAAUCUACUUUUUCGAGGGGGGUAACGUCGGGGAACCUAGGGUAAUACCAAAUAUGAUCUAAGGGAGAAAGCAGGGGAACUUCGGCCCCUGCGCGAUUGAAUGAGCCGAUGUCGGAUUAGCUGGUAGGAGGGGUAAAGGCCAACCGAGGCGACGAUCCGUAGCUGGUCUGAGAGCGUGAUCAGCCACACUGGAACUGAGACACGUUCCAGACUCCUACGGGAGGCACCAGUGGGGAAUAUUGGACAAUGGGCGCAAGCUUGAUCCAGCCAUACCGCGUGGGUGAAGAAGGCGUUCCCGUUGUAAAGCCCUUUUCUUUGGAGAGAAAAUAAGCAGGUUAAUACCCCGCUUUUCUGACGGUACCCAAAGAAUAAGCUCCCGCUAACUUCGUG
rnacentral:rRNA from 1 species